UACGUAGGGGGCUAGCGUUGUCCGGAAUCAUUCGGCGUAAAGCGCGUGUAGGCGGUUCGGUAAGUCCGCUGUGAAAGUCGGGGGCUCAACCCUCGAAUGCCGGUGGAUACUGUCGGACUAGAGUACGGAAGAGGCGAGUGGAAUUCCUGGUGUAGCGGUGAAAUGCGCAGAUAUCAGGAGGAACACCAAUUGCGAAGGCAGCUCGCUGGGACGUUACUGACGCUGAGACGCGAAAGCGUGGGGAGCAAACAGG
rnacentral:rRNA from 1 species